GACGUAGGGCGCGAGCGUUGUCCGGAUUUAUUGGGCGUAAAGAGCUCGUAGGCGGCUUGUCGCGUCGUCCGUGAAAACCUGCAGCUCAACUGCAGGCUUGCGGUCGAUACGGGCAGGCUCGAGUUCGGUAGGGGAGACUGGAAUUCCUGGUGUAGCGGUGAAAUGCGCAGAUAUCAGGAGGAACACCGAUGGCGAAGGCAGGUCUCUGGGCCACUACUGACGCUGGAGAAG
rnacentral:rRNA from 1 species